rnacentral:rRNA from 1 species
AGGCAAGCCUGCCGAGUAGGGAGGCGGCGAUGAGGCAGAGGAAGACACGCCGGGAGCCGGCCUGGCCCUGGGCGAUGCCGCAGAAGGCGGAAGCGAGGUCCGCAAAGCCAGAAUGGAUCGGCGUGGUUGUGAGCCGCCGGCUUCAGGUGGGCGGUGGAUGUGGUCGGCCGGCCGAGGAGGCGUGCAUCCUUGGUCGCCAAGCCUCGCGGAACGGUGCCGUCGCCUGGGCCGGCGAGACACUCGCCUCCCCUGACAUGGGCCGGUGAUGGCGCAUGGGAGAUGGGGUGCGAGCGGCAGGAGGCGCGGGAGACGACGAACAUCACCUUGGGAGCGCGUGGGGGGAGGGGUGCAGGCAGGCUCGUAGUGGCCGCAUCCAGCAGGGCGAACUUGGUCGCCGACGCCCCCUUCCUCGGUGUUCCAGCCGCGAUAGCCGUUGCCGCAUCGGGUCCUUCGCGUCGCGCCAUUGCCGUCAGCGCAGCACCCGUCGCUGCUGCACCCAACGCCCUCACCGGUGCGAGCAGCUCCCCUGAGGAUCAGCCCCCACUCCCGCCGUUGCAAUCACUCAGAGUAAAAAGAGGACUGAGAGCAGGGAUGAGAUGAGU